UACGGAGGGUGCAAGCGUUAUCCGGAUUCACUGGGUUAAAGGGUGCGUAGGUGGGUCUGUAAGUCAGUGGUGAAAUCUUCGAGCUUAACUCGGAAACUGCCAUUGAUACUAUAGAUCUUGAAUUUUCUGGAGGUAAGCGGAAUAAUGUCAUGUAGCGGUGAAAUGCUUAGAUAUGACAUAGAACACCAAUUGCGAAGGCAGCUUACUACGGGAACAUUGACACUGAGGCACGAAAGCGUGGGGAUCAAACAGG
rnacentral:rRNA from 1 species